UACAGAGGGUGCAAGCGUUAAUCGGAAUUACUGGGCGUAAAGCGUGCGUAGUCGGUUAUUUAAGUCGGAUGUGAAAUCCCCGGGCUCAACCUGGGAAUUGCAUUCGAUACUGGAUAGCUAGAGUUCGGCAGAGGGAAGCGGAAUUUCGGGUGUAGCGGUGAAAUGCGUAGAUAUCCGAAGGAACAUCAGUGGCGAAAGCGGCUUCCUGGACCAGAACUGACGAUCAGGCACGAAAGCUAGGGGAGCAAACAGG
rnacentral:rRNA from 1 species